AUGUAUGCUCAAGAUAGUUAAUCUACCUAAGCAUUUUAUUGUAAAUCUUUACUUGCUACAUGUACCUGUUGAAUCAAUUUUUAUAAGCUCUUUUGAAAUAUGACAUUCUUGAGAGAGUUUAGAUAGAAAAUAAGUAUAAUAUUCUCACUUGAAGGUGUUUAGUUGUUCAUGUACCUAAAAAACAAAUAUAAUAACUUAUGACAAUGACACUCUAGCUUUUUCUAGGUUAUGGAGAUCCGAAAUUUGCGUAUAGAUUAUAGGAUCAAUAAAAAAAAUUGAGUCUAGAGAUUAAGUGCAUAAAACUCUAAUCUAAACCAGAAAUAUCUUAUAAAACAAGCACCAAGUUUAAAAUUAAUGCUUCACCUACAACUGAGCAUGCAAUAGAAAAAAGGUUAAGUGAAAAACAUGAGCUCAACUAAGCCAAUAGUAAGUGAAAAACACGGAUUUUUAUUGUCUUUAUGAUGCUUAAAAAUAUAUAAAAAGAAUGAUAGCUGAUGAAU
rnacentral:lncRNA from 1 species